AUUGAACGCUGGCGGCAGGCCUAACACAUGCAAGUCGAACGGUAACAGGAAGAAGCUUGCUUCUUUGCUGACGAGUGGCGGACGGGUGAGUAAUGUCUGGGAAACUGCCUGAUGGAGGGGGAUAACUACUGGAAACGGUAGCUAAUACCGCAUAACGUCGCAAGCACAAAGAGGGGGACCUUCGGGCCUCUUGCCAUCGGAUGUGCCCAGGUGGGAUUAGCUAGUAGGUGGGGUAACGGCUCACCUAGGCGACGAUCCCUAGCUGGUCUGAGAGGAUGACCAGCCACACUGGAACUGAGACACGGUCCAGACUCCUACGGGAGGCAGCAGUGGGGAAUAUUGCACAGUGGGCGCAAGCCUGAUGCAGCCAUGCCGCGUGUAUGAAGAAGGCCUUCGGGUUGUAAAGUACUUUCAGCGGGGAGGAAGGGAGUAAAGUUAAUACCUUUACUCAUUGACGUUACCCGCAGAAGAAGCACCGGCUAACUCCGUG
rnacentral:rRNA from 1 species